ACACAGGAUAGGUGCUGGUGUGCAAGGCCAGGCCUAGGUGUAGCCACUGGGAGAAGGAGGUACAAGAGCCAUCACCUGGGUGAAAAGCUGCAAGCAGUGGGAAGCCUGAGUCUUUGCCCCUGGAGGACUGAUGGCUGUGUGCACAUGUGCCUGAAGUAUUGUCAGUCUCAUCUCUCCUGGAUCUUGGAUUUGGAGUCUUGCCAUACCCAAAACCCACAGGCAGGACUCCGUCUCUCAUCAUUGAAGUGGAAAAUAAGUUAGCAAAACAUGUACUGACUCUUAUCUAGAUUUGUCCUUCAUAACUCUUUUGGAGAUUCUGAAAUGCUCACUGUUUAUAUUCAGAUUAUUCUCCUAGGGUUUCCAGAUGGGAGC